rnacentral:rRNA from 1 species
CAGUCGAACGAGAGACCUUCGGGUCUCUAGUGGCGAACGGGUGAGUAACACCUAAGGAACCUGCCCGCGCACCGGGAAUACGCUCUGGAAACGGAGAACAAAUCCCGAUGUACAGGAAGGAGGCAUCUUCUUUCUGUGAAACAUCCUUUAGGGGAUGGGGCGCGGAUGGACCUGCGGUGCAUUAGUUGGUUGGCGGGGUAAAGGCCCACCAAGACGAUGAUGCAUAGCCGGCCUGAGAGGGCGGACGGCCACAUUGGGACUGAGACACGGCCCAGACUCCUGCGGGAGGCAGCAGUAGGGAAUUUUCGUCAAUGGGCGCAAGCCUGAACGAGCGAUGCCGCGUGAGUGAAGAAGGCCUUCGGGUCGUAAAGCUCUGUUGCGGGGGAAAAAAGGCAGCAUCAGGAAAUGGGUGCUGACUGAUGGUGCCCCGCCAGAAAGUCACGGCUAACUACGUGCCAGCAGCCGCGGUAAUACGUAGGUGGCGAGCGUUAUCCGGAAUGAUUGGGCGUAAAGGGUGCGCAGGCGGUCCUGCAAGUCUGGAGUGAAACGCAUGAGCUCAACUCAUGCAUGGCUUUGGAAACUGGAGGACUGGAGAGCAGGAGAGGGCGGUGGAACUCCAUGUGUAGCGGUAAAAUGCGUAGAUAUAUGGAAGAACACCAGUGGCGAAGGCGGCCGCCUGGCCUGUUGCUGACGCUGAGGCACGAAAGCGUGNGGAGCAAAUAGGAUUAGAUACCCUANUAGUCCACGCCGUAAACGAUGAGGACCAAGUGUUGGGGGUGAAACCUCAGUGCUG